rnacentral:tRNA from 1 species
GCCGGAGUAGCUCAGCUGGCAGAGCGCGUGUCUUGUAAACACGAGGUCACGGGUUCGAUCCCCGUCUCCGGCU